UGAGGAAUAUUGGUCAAUGGACGAAAGUCUGAACCAGCGACGCCGCGUGUGGGAUGAAGGGGGCUUUGCCCUGUAAACCACUGUCGGAAGGGAAAAAAAGAAGUAUGAACUUCUGGGAUUGUACCUUCAAAGGAAGGAUCGGCUAACUACGUGCCAGCAGCCGCGGUAAUACGUAGGAUCCAAGCGUUGUCCGGGAUUUACUGGGUGUAAAGGGUGCGUAGGCGGACUCGUGCGUUAGAGGUUAAAUACUUCGGCUCAACCGAAGAAAUGCCUUUAAUACGGCGAGUCUUGAGUGCGGAGAGGGGGAUAGUAGAAUUCCUGGUGUAGCGGUGAAAUGCGUAGAUAUCAGGAGGAAUACCAGUGGCGAAGGCGGCUAUCUGGCUCGUAACUGACGCUGAGG
rnacentral:rRNA from 1 species